UCCAUCAGAGCGGCUGUGAGAACUGGGACUUUUCCAUCACCUCCCCCACAUUCUCCCAGCUCCGCUUUUGGGAUGCAUCGCCACGGUUUUAUCUGGGGGUUGAUAAAGAAGGAGGCUCGACGGAGGCAGGCUCGCGUUUCACCGUGCCAAAGCGGAAUCAUGUCAAUAUCGGGAUCGUUAUUGCUUGUGAACCAUUUGUCGCUCUGGAGGGAAAAAAAAAACCAAACGCUCCCACAGGAAGCUAAAGCCAAGUUUUUCCCAAAGAGUGUAAGUAAAGAUAGCAAAAUGAAAACAGCCAUUGGCAUCUUUUGAUGAGACGUAAAAGUCGAAGUGAAUUAAAAAAUUAAUUGGCCGUUUAAUCUCUUGAAAUAUAAAUCAUGACGCCAGCUAGCAAACAAGACUUCUUUAAUCCAUUUCAUAAUGAAUUGAAGCCACUUACCCGAGAUCUGUGUAAGGGAUUGUCAAAAUUGGUCCCCUCUGGCGCGAGCAGCAACCAUCCUCCAUAAAUAGGCUUCGCCUGUUGAUAAGAAGAUGCGAUUAUAAACAUCAACUGUUUGCGAGGGGAAAAGGGAAAGUUAUAAAUUUGCAAUUUCAACUCAACAAAGGCGGGCUGGCCUGGCCUGGCCUGGCAUGCUUUCUUAAAUAGUUGUGCCACAUACUUGAACUCCUGCCACUUGAGUAGUCAGCAGUUAUUUCGAGUCAAACAAGCCCGGCCUAACCACAGCUGGCUGGCUUGAUGUGUGCAUGGUGAGAAAUGCCGCGAGGAAUUUUGCCAGACGUUGCCGCUCAGAUGAUAGGAUGUAAAAUAAUAAAUUAAAUGAAUAAUCUACAGAACAGUGGGCUAGAAAUUAAGCUCUGACAUUUACGGCCAGCCGGCCGGCUCCUCCGUCGGGGGGUUUUGAUUACAGUCAUAACUUCAUCCCACGCAAAGCCACAUCUAAUCCACCUUAAAAUCCGCUUUUGUUUUGAUUGCAAAAGGUACGGCGGGACAGAGCUCAGCUACGGUCGCUCUGUAAACAAAAUGAAAGAACCGCAAUUUUCCAAUCUGAACUUUGCGGCCAGGCUAUCUGAUAACGGGCCCGCCUGCAGGAAGGAAUUGCGCUGAUAGCCUGUAAAAAUAUGCCCGAAACCCAAAAGGAGCUGUCGUCUUUCCUCACGUGACCUGACAGCAGGCCCCGUUUGAAAAAUACACUCUGAUCAUUUCAGGUCAAGCUUUCCUCUUCAUCGCUUUGGUGGUUAAACGGCGCGUGUCGCCACAGCCCCCGACCUCCUCGUUCCACGAAUUAGAACGUGGCCUAAUGUCAGUUCCAAUUGUUUCUUAUGGCAAAAAAAAAAAAAAAGAUUUCUAAAACGUUAACCGGCUGGGCUAGAGACAUGAACCGAAUGACACCGGCGCGCCUCCAAGUGCGCCGCUUUCGGAAAACUUUACAACUAAGACACAACUGGCUGGGUUGGAGGUUGACAGCCGGUGUUCCGCAGGGAAAGACGAGCUAUUUUCCAUCAUAUUUGAAGGAAAGUGCGCUGUUACGUUUCCAGAGACAUCACUCUCUGACCAGCUGGGAAAUACUGUUGGAAUAUGACCAUUUGUAAACAAUCAACCAAAUGGAACAUACAGUCAUGCGAUUUGCGGGGAGCAUAUCCACGUAAGUGUUUGGACAGUGUGACAAAUAGAUGAUGAAGCUGGUGAUUGUUUGAGUCGAAAGCUUUGGGAGUUCAGCGUGACAUUAAGGUCAAUAAGCAUCCCUGGGUUGAUGACUAAUUGAAUUCAGAGAAACAAACCUUUGCACUUUUAGCCUAUGUUGACACAUGAAGCAAAAACACACCUAAGCGCAAGGCCAUUCAUUUUCAUGAAACACUGCAGUGACCAAAUACUCACCUGGUUGAGGUCUUCGUCGUUGAGCAGGUGAGAUUCUCGAGGCUUAAAACAAUUUUGACAUUUGCUCUUAUUAAAAAUGUUGGCUUGGAAUUUCCUACAGGGGUUCUCUUUGACUGACAUGGUGGGUCGAGGAUAGGACGGGAUGCGUGUUCUCUUUCAAAUUUAAAAAAACAAAUUACUUUGGGAACAAAUGAUACGAAAUGUCUCUUUAGGUCACGUCUAUGCUGGUCAUCGUGCUCCAGGGGGGCUAACGUUCACCCGUUAGAACUUCUCGCUGUCUCUGGAGCCCACCAAGAAGUUCUGGAUGAUGUCGACUAAUGGAGACAGGAGUGCGCAAUGUUUGGGUCGAACAUGCGUUGCUCAACCAAGCGUCGACGAGCGGUGGACGACACUGCGGUGGUCCUGGCGGGUCCCGUCAGCAGCCUCCAUCGCGGGGGGAACGACGCCAACUUACCGAAGGGAGUCCAAUCCGCCUCCUCCACCUCCGGACUGCUAUUUAACGAGCGUUCAUACGCGAUUGGGUUCCAGUCCGGACAUAAUUCACGUUGAAAAACACGCCAUGGACGCUGCUCAAUUCGUGCAGCUGAGUGAAUGUUUUCGUCUAAAUGCUGCUAGUGGCCGGACAUCAACUGUCUGCAAAGAAGGGCGGGGCUAAGUUGGUGAUUGACUGCAACAUUGACCAAUCAGGCGCCUGCCCGUGCGGACGCUCUGUAAAUUGACCAAUUGGACGCCGAUCAAGACCCACCUUUCCUCUGUUAGGUGGGCUUUAAAGUUUUGGUCACCAACCACAGGGCCGCGGACCGGAACCGUUCCGUGGGACAUUCGGUACUGGACAGAGGUAGCAAAAGUACUCCCAAGGAUACAGUUGAAUAAAGCCAAAGGUGUUAUUUAUAAAAAAAAAAAAAAAAAAAAGUGGUAAUCUGUACAA